rnacentral:rRNA from 1 species
ACGUAGGUGGCAAGCGUUGUCCGGAUUUAUUGGGCGUAAAGCGAACGCAGGCGGGAGAAUAAGUCAGCUGUGAAAGCCCUCAGCUUAACCGAGGAACGGCAACUGAAACUAUUUUUCUUGAGUGCAGAAGAGGAGAGUGGAACUCCAUGUGUAGCGGUGAAAUGCGUAGAUAUAUGGAAGAACACCAGUGGCGAAGGCGGCUCUCUGGUCUGUAACUGACGCUGAGGUUCGAAAGCAUGGGUAGCGAACAGG